UACGUAGGGUGCGAGCGUUAAUCGGAAUUACUGGGCGUAAAGCGUGCGCAGGCGGUGAUGUAAGACAGAUGUGAAAUCCCCGGGCUCAACCUGGGACCUGCAUUUGUGACUGCAUCGCUAGAGUACGGCAGAGGGGGAUGGAAUUCCGCGUGUAGCAGUGAAAUGCGUAGAUAUGCGGAGGAACACCGAUGGCGAAGGCAAUCCCCUGGACCUGUACUGACGCUCAUGCACGAAAGCGUGGGGAGCAAACAGG
rnacentral:rRNA from 1 species